UACGAAGGGGGCUAGCGUUGCUCGGAAUCACUGGGCGUAAAGGGUGCGUAGGCGGGUCUUUAAGUCAGGGGUGAAAUCCUGGAGCUCAACUCCAGAACUGCCUUGAUACUGAAGAUCUUGAGUCGGGAGAGGUGAGUGGAACUGCGAGUGUAGAGGUGAAAUUCGUAGAUAUUCGCAAGAACACCAGUGGCGAAGGCGGCUCACUGGCCCGGUACUGACGCUGAGGUGCGAAAGCGUGGGGAGCAA
rnacentral:rRNA from 1 species